rnacentral:rRNA from 1 species
GUUUGAUCCUGGCUCAGAUUGAACGCUGGCGGCAGGCCUAACACAUGCAAGUCGAACGGUAGCACAGAGAGCUUGCUCUCGGGUGACGAGUGGCGGACGGGUGAGUAAUGUCUGGGAAACUGCCUGAUGGAGGGGGAUAACUACUGGAAACGGUAGCUAAUACCGCAUAAUGUCGCAAGACCAAAGAGGGGGACCUUCGGGCCUCUUGCCAUCGGAUGUGCCCAGAUGGGAUUAGCUUGUUGGUGAGGUAACGGCUCACCAAGGCGACGAUCCCUAGCUGGUCUGAGAGGAUGACCAGCCACACUGGAACUGAGACACGGUCCAGACUCCUACGGGAGGCAGCAGUGGGGAAUAUUGCACAAUGGGCGCAAGCCUGAUGCAGCCAUGCCGCGUGUAUGAAGAAGGCCUUCGGGUUGUAAAGUACUUUCAGCGAGGAGGAAGGCGGUAAGGUUAAUAACCUUAUCGAUUGACGUUACUCGCAGAAGAAGCACCGGCUAACUCCGUGCCAGCAGCCGCGGUAAUACGGAGGGUGCAAGCGUUAAUCGGAAUUACUGGGCGUAAAGCGCACGCAGGCGGUCUGUCAAGUCGGAUGUGAAAUCCCCGGGCUCAACCUGGGAACUGCAUUCGAAACUGGCAGGCUAGAGUCUUGUAGAGGGGGGGUAGAAUUCCAGGUGUAGCGGUGAAAUGCCGUAGAGAAUCUGGAGGAAUACCGGGUGGCCGAAUGGCGGCCCCCUGGACAAAGACUGACGCUCAGUGCGAAAGCGUGGGGGAGCAAACAGGAUUAGAUACCCUGCUAGUCACGCGUAACGAUUCGAACACUUGGGAGGUUGUGCCUUGAGCCGUG